rnacentral:rRNA from 1 species
CGGGUUGAAGCAUGACCGUAAGGACAUGUGGACAGUAUGGGAGUGAGAAUGUUGGCAUGAGUAGCGAGAUGUGGGUGAGAAUCCCACAGGCCGUAAACCCAAGGUUUCCAGGGGAAGGUUCGUCCGCCCUGGGGUAGUCGGGACCUAAGCUGAGGCCGAAAGGCGUAGGUGAUGGACAACAGGUUGAUAUUCCUGUACUACCGAUAACCGUUUGAGAGAUGGGAUGACACAGUAGGAUAAGCUAAGCACACUGUUGGUUAUGUGUGCCCAAGCAUUGAGGCAGUCAGAGUAGGUAAAUCCGCUUUGAUAAUGCUGGGAUGUGAUGGGGAGCGAAAUUUAGUAGCGAAGUAGCUGAUUUCACACUGUCAAGAAAAGUCUCUAUCGAGGUUAAAGGUACCCGUACCGCAAACCGACACAGGUGGGUGAGGAGA